AAUUAUACAUACAAAAUAAAUAGAUUUAAAUCUACUUAAUAAAUAAAUAUAUAUAUAUACACACACACCAUUGAACUUCAUGGGAUACGAAUUAUACGAAACUAAUUUCAACGAUCCAACCGUCAAACAUGUUUGUAUAUACUUCGAGAUCGCAUACGCCAAAAAUUGCAAAACACAAACAUUCAGAGAGCAAGUAACGGGACAAAACUUUUCGACAGUUAUAAACGAAAAAUCACGAUUUAACUGUCAUUUUAACUCUGAUUUUGAUGAUUUUUUGCAAUCACACUCCUUGACCCUAUAUGAAUACAAUGAUUGAAUUCGAUCUUCAAUUUAAAAUAUUUACACUAGUGGAUAUCACAAAAUCUUAUGUUAUACUUAAUAAAAGUAUGAAUAAACUCUUAAGUAUUAGUGAAUCUAUUGUUUUAAUGGGAUACUCAUUCUACGAAACUAGUUUCAAUGAUCCAACCGUCAAACAUGUUUGUAUAUACUUCGAGAUCGCAUACGCCAAAAAUUUGAAAAAAACAAACAUUCAGAGAUCAAGUAAUGGGACAAAAGUUUUCGACGGUUAUAACUUAUAAACGAAAAAUCACGAUUUAACGGUUAUUUUAACUCCGAUUUUGAUGAUUUUUUACAACUACACUCCUUGACCCUAUAUGAAUACAAGUAAUGAAUUCGAUCUUUAAUUUAAAAUAUUUACACUAGUGGAUACCACAAAAUCUUAUGUUAUACUUAAUAGAAGUAUGAAUAAAUUAUUAAGUAUUAGUGAAUUUAUUGUUUUGAUGGGAUACUCAUUCUACGAAACUAGUUUCAAAGAUUCAACCGUCAAACAUGUUUGUAUAUACUUCAAGAUCGCAUACGUCAAAAAUUACAAAAAACAAACAUUCAGAAAUCAAUUAACGGGACAAAACUUUUCGACGGUUAUAAAAAGAAAAAUCAUGAUUUAACGGUCAUUUUAACUCUGAUUUUGAUGAUUUUUUGCAGCUACACUCCUUGACCUUAUAUGAAUACAAUGAUUGAAUUCGAUCUUCAAUUUAAAAUAUUUACACUAGUGGAUACCACAAAAUCUUAUAUUAUACUUAAUAAAAGUAUGAAUAAACUAUUAAGUAUUAGUGAAUCUAUUGUUUUGAUGGGAUACUCAUUCUACGAAACUAGUUUCAAUGAUCCAACCGUCAAACAUGUUUAUAUAUACUUCGAGAUCGCAUACACCAAAAAUUGCAAAAAAAAAACAAACAUUCAGAGAUCAAGUAACGGGACAAAAACUUUUCGACGGUUAUAAACGAAAAAAAUCACGAUUUAACGGUCAUUUUAACUCCGAUUUUGAUGAUUUUUUACAACUACACUCCUUGACCCUAUAUGAAUACAAUGAUUGAAUUCGAUCUUCAAUUUAAAAUAUUUACACUAGUGGAUACCACAAAAUCUUAUGUUAUACUUAAUAAAAAUAUGAAUAAACUCUUAAGUAUUAGUGAAUCUAUUGUUUUGAUGCAAUACUCAUUCUACGAAACUAGUUUCAAUGAUCCAACCGUCAAACAUGUUUUUAUAUAUUUCGAGAUCGCAUACGCCAAAAAUUGCAAAAAAACAAACAUUCAGAGAGCAAGUAACGGGACAAAACUUUUCGACGGUUAUAAACGAAAAAUCACGAUUUAACGGUUAAUUUAACUCCGAUUUUGAUGAUUUUUUACAACUACACUCCUUGACCUUAUAUGAAUACAAUGAUUGAAUUCGAUCUUCAAUUUAAAAUAUUUACACUAGUGGAUACCACAAAAUCUUAUGUUAUACUUAAUAAAAGUAUGAAUAAACUCUUAAGUAUUAGUGAAUCUAUUGUUUUAAUGGGAUACUCAUUAUACGAAACUAGUUUCAAUGAUCCAACCGUCAAACAUGUUUGUAUAUAUUUCAAGAUCGCAUACGCCAAAAAUUGCAAAAAAAAAACAUUUAGAGAGCAAGUAACGGGACAAAACGUUUCGACGGUUAUAAACGAAAAAUCAUGAUUUAACGGUUAAUUUAACUCCGAUUUUGAUGAUUUUUUACAACUACACUCCUUGACCUUAUAUGAAUACAAUGAUUGAAUUCGAUCUUCAAUUUAAAAUAUUUACACUAGUGGAUACCACAAAAUCUUAUGUUAUACUUAAUAAAAGUAUGAAUAAACUAUUAAGUAUUAGUGAAUCCAUUGUUUUGAUGAGAUGCUCAUUCUACGAAACUAGUUUCAAAGAUCCAACCGUCAAACAUGUUUGUAUAUACUUCGAGAUCGCAUACGUCAAAAAUUUCAAAAAACAAACAUUCAGAGAUCAAUUAACGGGACAAAACUUUUCGACGGUUAUAAAAAGAAAAAUCACGAUUUAACGGUCAUUUUAACUCUGAUUUUGAUGAUUUUUUGCAGCUGCACUCCUUGACCUUAUAUGAAUACAAUGAUUGAAUUCGAUCUUCAAUUUAAAAUAUUACACUAGUGGAUACCACAAAAUCUUAUAUUAUACUUAAUAAAAGUAUGAAUAAACUAUUAAGUAUUAGUAAAUCUAUUGUUUUGAUGGGAUACUCAUUCUACGAAACUAGUUUCAAAGAUCCAACCGUCAAACAUGUUUGUAUAUACUUCGAGAUCGCAUACGUCAAAAAUUAAAAAAAACAAACAUUCAGAGAUCAAGUAAAGGGACAAAACGUUUCGACGGUUAUAAACGAAAAAUCACGAUUUAACGGUCAUUUUAACUCCGAUUUUGAUGUUUUUUUACAACCACAGUCCUUGACCCUAUAUGAAUACAAUGAUUGAAUUUGAUCUUCAAUUUAAAAUAUUUACACUAGUGGAUACCACAAAAUCUUAUAUUAUACUUAAUAAAAGUAUAAAUAAACUAUUAAGUAUUAGUGAAUCUAUUGUUUUGAUGGGAUACUCAUUAUACGAAACUAGUUUCAAGGAUCCAACCGUCAAACAUGUUUAUAUAUACUUCGAGAUUGCAUACGCCAAAAAUUGAAAAAACAAACAUUCAGAGAUCAAGUAACGGGACAAAACAUUUCGACGGUUAUAAACGAAAAAUCACGAUUUAACGGUCAU
rnacentral:lncRNA from 1 species